ACAAGCGGUGGAUUAUGUGGAUUAAUUCGAUGCAACGCGAAAACCUUACCUACCCUUGACAUGCUAGGAACUUGCCAGAGAUGGCUUGGUGCCCGAAAGGGAAUCGGAACACAGGUGCUGCAUGGCUGUCGUCAGCUCGUGUCGUGAGAUGUUGGGUUAAGUCCCGCAACGAGCGCAACCCUUAUCAUUAGUUGCUACGCAAGGGCACUCUAAUGAGACUGCCGGUGACAAACCGGAGGAAGGUGGGGAUGACGUCAAGUCCUCAUGGCCCUUAUGGGUAGGGCUUCACACGUCAUACAAUGGUCGGUACAGAGGGUUGCCAAGCCGCGAGGCGGAGCCAAUCCCACAAAGCCGAUCGUAGUCCGGAUUGUUCUCUGCAACUCGAGAGCAUGAAGUCGGAAUCGCUAGUAAUCGCAGGUCAGCAUACUGCGGUGAAUACGUUCCCGGGUCUU
rnacentral:rRNA from 1 species